rnacentral:lncRNA from 1 species
CCCUCAUCUCCUUGCAGCUUUGGCUUUGGGCAUUUCGCCCCCUCUUCUGGAGCUUAGAGGAGUGUCCUGUGACUUCCUUCUCCUUUGGAGUGUGGCUGAUGCACCCGCCCCAAAUUCCCCCUCUGCACAUCUAUGGUUCCACACAGCAAAGGCAAGACGGAAGAAAUGCUAUCCACGCCAGUCUCCACCCUGGGAGCAUGCGUCUGUUCCAGUUUUUAAGGUAAAAUCAAUCAAUCAAAUGGGUUUUGCUUGCAUUUGUUUGGGUUGGUUUUUCAGAGAGCACUGCUCCCCACUGUCCUCCCUGCCACAAAGACACUUGCAGAUGGAAAUAUGCAGACGGUUUGCAACAGCAACCUAACUCUGACCUGAGCUCCAGUAACAAAGACGCCCUCUCCUGCCAGAGACAAUUUUCUGAGCAUUCUUCUGGGGAGGGGGAAGCAAGAGGACUGGGAAAGGAGGAGCUCAGAAACCCAGAACCUAGGCUGGGAAGGGGGCAGAGUCUGCUUGGUGGGGAAGUUCUCCAGUGGAGCUCAACAUGAAGGUAGUUCAUCCCACCCAAACCCAGACAUCUGAAGAGCAGGGCGGAGGCCAGAGAAGAGCUCAUGUAGCAGAGAGAGCUGGGUUCCCCGGCUCUAGGAAGAGGGCCUUUGAGCACACCCUCUGACGCAGGGUCAGGCGUUUCAACCCACAGGCCUUGGGUGAGCAAUCAGGUGCAGCAGAGCUAGACCAGGCCCUGGGGUGGGCCUCGGAGCAGUUGGAGCUGACGAGGUUGCACGGCCUUUAGCAUCUGCGCCUCGACCCAAAGAACUGGCUAUUUCAUUUCAGGCCAAAGUGGACCAGGCACAGCUGAUACCUCAGAUGAGGACCUGCAAGUGACCCCCAACUGUCUCAGGACAAACCUGAAGCAGAUCCUCUGACCCCACGGGGCAGAGGCUCCACCAGGAGCCUGGCAGGGGAGGACCAAGUCCAGCAGAGCCUCGCUCUCUGUUAUUGGUAGCUCAAGUGUCCUGCUUUUUCCCCCAAAUGAACAGCCUGGCACAUCACCUCACCCCCUAUGCGGCCACAGCACGGAUUUCUGGCAAGAGCCUGAUUGGGCUGGUCCACUCUGGCUCUGGCUGCUUAAAGAUAGCGCUUGUCCCCUGUCCCCUUGGCUUCUCUGGUGAGACACGACUUUCCACCGACACCCCUGCCCUCUGCAGCCUGCUCCCUUCCCUGUGGUGGAGAAGUGCAGAGGGCCCCGCCUUCCUCGCCUUCCAUCAGUGUCUCUGUGUGUGGGACUCUAGGUCACGGUCACCUGUUCCUGCUGCCAGCACGCGUGGGGCCUGGGAAUCGUUACCUGCAAAUUGGGUGCUCCCUGGGGCUGAGCAGGCAGCCCUGAUGGAAGAGAAGUGGGGUGGGGGCAGCCCAGCCCUACACAGCAGCCUGAGAUGCAGCAGUGACCCACCCCAGGGACCAUGAGCCCCAAGCUCUGCAGGGACGGAGGUGUGUGUGAUCAUCCUCUUCUCACCCUCUAGAGUGGGCCCCGUGGCUCCAAGGUGGCUGCCUGACAAGCCAGUUGUGUCCCCAUCAUCUGGAUGAGAGUGGGUAAAGGCAUG